rnacentral:tRNA from 1 species
GGGGCAUUAGCUCAGCUGGGAGAGCGUCACGCCUGCACCGUGAAGGUCAGCGGUUCGAUCCCGCUAUGCUCCACCA